GUGAGUCAUCGAAUCUUUGAAUGCAUAUUGCACUUUCUGGUAUUCCGGAAAGUAUGCCUGUUUGAGGGUCAGUUAAAUAAAAAUCGGUGUUGUUGCUAUCCGUAGUGGCGUUAAUGCAUCGGAAUUGAGUUGUCUUUUACCUUUUUUGGUUUAAGUGACUUAAAAUUAUGUACGAUUUUUGAACGUAUUUAAAUUAUUUACGUAUGUUCAUAAUAUCAAAUAUUAGGUGCGAUCAUCCUUAUGAUUCACAUCUAUAAUUUUUCAUUAUUUGACCUCAAAUCAGGUAAGAGUACCCGCUGA
rnacentral:misc_RNA from 1 species